rnacentral:lncRNA from 1 species
CGGAGCCCGGCACUCGUGACCUCGCCAGCUCUCAGCUCCCUCGGGCGAUUUCGUGCACGCUAAUGUGCGCCUCUGUGUUUUCCUAAAUGCUGGUUUCUUCAUCAAGCGGCGGAAUAACGCAUCAGGGCAGGUGACCCACGUCACCGGGGUGAUGCACUGGUGCUCGCCGGGGCGGGCGCUGUGCCUGCGGGAGCCGCGCGGCCGGCGCGGUGUCGGGGCGCCUCGUGGGGGCCGAGCCGCGCCCGCACGUCCCUCAGGUGGAGACAAACAGGAACCUCUACCCUCCUCUGCCUGUUAGUACUGGAUGGUGUGAGCGAGGUCCCCCAGCUGCACCACAGCAGGGCAGGAGACAGCAGGAUUCUCUCCUUGCCAUGGGGAUGAGGACAAAUUCUCCCUUCAUCCUUGAGAUUGGACUCCCGCCACACAUCCUGGAGGAGCCUACAGAGAAGCCGGCAGGUCUCCCUCACCUGGAUGGUGCCAGCGGGUGGCCUGGACCACCCAGAGGCCCUCUCCUGCACCUGACAGGAAGCCCCUGGGGCAUACGUCUCCCCUGCCACUUCCACUGUGGCCACUGGAAGUGUGGCAGAGAAAAUAGCUAGGACAAAAAGAAGUCAAUGAUUUCAACCAACGGAAUUUCUUUGUCCUUUGUAAAAAUCAACACAUGAUCUGUUACUGAUUGGGAUGUGAAAUAAAACUAAAAAUAACAGCACACUGAGCCUGGCUCAGGGCUCAGCUCACCUUUACCACGGUCCAAGUUCAGUUUAUCAGAUCCCAAGGAGCAGCUAAGCAGCAAGUCAAACACAGGUGAGGGUGGAGGGCGGAGGGCGGAGCGGGGAGGGGGCUCUGGCCCUCUGCGUGCCCCCACCAACCCCCAGGUAGAGAACCAGCCAGCUCACCAGGGAGUGUGGCCAAGCAAGAAGCUAUACACAGAAUUCUGAGCCCACACCCUAAUCUGCCUCAGGUGGGGAGGCCACUCACUUCCCUUUUUGCCUCAGUUUCCCCACUGGGGUUACCAGGGUCUUCUGGCACAUUCCCUUGUUUUAAGGAACGGUGGAAGAGGGGUCCCCUUGAGAUCAGGUUAAGCUGUGAAACAUCCUGCCAGCGCCACAGGCCACUGGGUCCUGGAAGGUCAGGCCACAAAGACC